UCCCUGAUAGCUCAGUUGGAAAAGAAUCUGCCUGCAGUGCAGGAGACCUUGGUUUAAUUCUUGGUCAGGAAG
rnacentral:tRNA from 1 species